rnacentral:rRNA from 1 species
GGGCCCGCACAAGCGGUGGAGCAUGUGGUUUAAUUCGAUGCAACGCGAAGAACCUUACCUACUCUUGACAUCCUGCGAAUUUUGGUAGAGAUACCUUAGUGCCUUCGGGAACGCAGAGACAGGUGCUGCAUGGCUGUCGUCAGCUCGUGUUGUGAAAUGUUGGGUUAAGUCCCGUAACGAGCGCAACCCUUGUCCUUAUUUGCCAGCGCGUAAUGGCGGGAACUCUAAGGAGACUGCCGGUGACAAACCGGAGGAAGGUGGGGACGACGUCAAGUCAUCAUGGCCCUUACGAGUAGGGCUACACACGUGCUACAAUGGUCGGUACAAAGGGUUGCCAACUCGCGAGAGUGAGCU